rnacentral:rRNA from 1 species
CCUACGGGCGGCAGCAGUGAGGAAUAUUGGUCAAUGGUCGAGAGUCUGAACCAGCCAAGUAGCGUGAAGGAUGACUGCCCUAUGGGUUGUAAACUUCUUUUAUAUGGGAAUAAAACGUUCCACGUGUGGGAUUUUGUAUGUACCAUAUGAAUAAGGAUCGGCUAACUCCGUGCCAGCAGCCGCGGUAAUACGGAGGAUCCGAGCGUUAUCCGGAUUUAUUGGGUUUAAAGGGAGCGUAGGUGGAUUGUUAAGUCAGUUGUGAAAGUUUGCGGCUCAACCGUAAAAUUGCAGUUGAAACUGGCAGUCUUGAGUACAGUAGAGGUGGGCGGAAUUCGUGGUAUAGCGGUGAAAUGCUUAGAUAUCACGAAGAACUCCGAUUGCGAAGGCAGUUCACUGGACUGCAACUGACACUGAGGUUCGAAAGUGUGGGUAUCAAACAGGAUUAGAUACCCCAGUAGUC